rnacentral:rRNA from 1 species
AUUGAACGCUGGCGGCAGGCCUAACACAUGCAAGUCGAACGAGUGGCGGACGGGUGAGUAAUGUCUGGGAAACUGCCCGUUGGAGGGGGAUAACUACUGGAAACGGUAGCUAAUAUCGCAUAUCCUCGCGUGUGUCCACAUGGGAUUAGCUUGUAGGUGGGGUAACGGCUCACCUAGGCGACGAUCCCCAGCUGGUCUGAGAGGAUGACCAGCCACACUGGAACUGAGACACGGUCCAGACUCCUACGGGAGGCAGCAGUGGGGAAUAUUGCACAAUGGGCGCAAGCCUGAUGCAGCCAUGCCGCGUGUAUGAAGAAGGCCUUCGGGUUGUAAAGUACUUUCAGCGGGGAGGCGUUACCCGCAGAAGAAGCACCGGCUAACUCCGUGCCAGCAGCCGCGGUAAUUC